GACGAACGCUGGCGGCGUGCUUAACACAUGCAAGUCGAACGGAAAGGCCCUGCUUUUGUGGGGUGCUCGAGUGGCGAACGGGUGAGUAACACGUGAGUAACCUGCCCUUGACUUUGGGAUAACUUCAGGAAACUGGGGCUAAUACCGGAUAGGAGCUCCUGCUGCAUGGUGGGGGUUGGAAAGUUUCGGCGGUUGGGGAUGGACUCGCGGCUUAUCAGCUUGUUGGUGGGGUAGUGGCUUACCAAGGCUUUGACGGGUAGCCGGCCUGAGAGGGUGGCCGGCCACAUGGGGACUGAGAGACGGCCCAGACUCCUACGGGAGGCAGCAGUGGGGAAUAUUGCACAAUGGGCGGAAGCGUGAUGCAGCAACGCCGCGUGCGGGAUGACGGCCUUCGGGUUGUAAACCGCUUUCGCCUGUGACGAAGCGUGAGUGACGGUAAUGGGUAAAGAAGCACCGGCUAACUACGUG
rnacentral:rRNA from 1 species